GGUGAACGCUGGCGGCGUGCCUAAGACAUGCAAGUCGAGCGGGGCAGGUUUAUACCUGUUCAGCGGCGGACGGGUGAGUAACGCGUGGGUGACCUACCCGGAAGAGGCGGACAACCUGGGGAACCCAAGCCAAAUCCGCCCUUGGGCCGUGUCCUUUGGGGGGGAAGAAAGGGGGGGCAGCCCGUUUCCGGUUGGGUCCGGGUCCCAUCAGCUAGUUGGUGGGGUAAAGGCCCACCAAAGCGGCGACGGGUAGCCGGUCUGAGAGGAUGGCCGGCCACAGGGGCACUGAGCCACGGGCCCCACUCCUACGGGAGGCAGCAGUGAGGAAUCUUCCGCAAUGGACGGAAGUCUGACGGAGCGACGCCGCUUGGAGGUGGCGGCCCUUCGGGGUGUAAACUCCUGAACUGGGGACGAAAGCCCUGUGUAGGGGGAUGACGGUACCCAGGUAAUAGCGCCGGCCAACUCCGUG
rnacentral:rRNA from 1 species